GUCACUAGAGUAAAACGGUAUGCCUUUAUUCAACAUAAAAUGAGUCAUUAAGAUAAAAUACAGUUUGUCCAUGUGCAGAAACAUUAUUAUACAUUCAAUCCUGAAGGUAGUUUUAUACGACCAAUAAGAGGAACAGUCUAAAAGUAGGAAGAAUAAAGACGAGUGAGAAGGAGCUAAAAGGCAGAGCUUUAUCUGUCAAAGUGCUAAGGUCAUUUCUUCCAUUCUGAUUUCUCUUGGUGCUGGUGAAAGUCUUAGGGUAUGAUGUAAUGAAUCACAGAAUUAAUAUGGGUUUAAAAAAAAUAGGUCGUAGCACUUAUGGUUAAAAGUUUUUAAUUUCUAGAGUUUCAUUUAUCAUGUACUCUAGAUCUUUCAUGGGUUCUAAAAAUUUCAUAACAAACUUUCUAAUAACAAACUUGCUCUUCAAUAUUAUUAUCAGAGUAAAACUGUCAGGUCCUUUUCAGUGCAGAUUCUGUCUCUGUAUACAACGAACAGGAAACCAAUUUUGAGACUUAGUAAGUUUCAUUAAUUUAAAGCUUGUUCAAAAUGGUUACAUGUGGAUUCAGCUGGGUUCCUUUCAAACCACUACGCCUGAAAACCUAAAAUGAAAACAAUGGCUGACAUGGAGUUCAAGUCCAACUCUAGUGUUUCUAAGCUCUGAAAACAUUAGACACUGUUGGUUUUUUUUUUUAAAGAAUUGACCCAAGAAAUAUAAGAUUUUACAUACCACACUUUCCAUAAGAAGGACAUAGACUGUGUGUAGAAUAGUUCUAAAGUAUCUCCAGGUAUUUUAAUAGCAUUUAGUGCAUUGCUUUCUUAUUGGGCUAAUCUGAAUAUUAAAUAUUUACAAAGAGGAUCCAAGUGCUCUAGUUGGUUUAGAAUUUGUCUGAGCCAAUGUCUGCAUCACUUAGCCACAGGUGCACAACCUUAAAUGCUGAGCAGUGGCAAAAGCUGUCCCUAGAUAAUAUAGUUGAAUAGAAAACCAUCACUUAGCCCACAAAAUGCCUCACAUCAAAUUCCAUGUUCCACUCAUGGCAAUUCAUAUUAUAGGAAUCCAAAACCUUAAAAAAUAAAAGUUUCAGUAAAAGGAUAAAAAUAAUUUUCAGUUUUAAUCUAUCUUAAAUCCAAUCUUGGAUUUAUCUUUCUUCUUCCCUAGGCACUCACUAAGCUUUGCAGCCAAGAUGAAAAUCAGGAUUUUCCCUUCAGUUUUUUUUGAGCUUGAAGAACCAGGAAAGCUCAAUUUGCAGUUAUUCUUCAUGAGUGCCGGUUAUCUAGUCACAGCCCACCUCAACAGCUGAUCAGCUCUCUCUUCCAAGUUUAAUCUGUGACAAGGAAAUGUUUGUAGGCAUGCCCCUUUUAGAUUAAGACUGAGAGAUACACAGUGGUACAGAGAUUCCUUAGCUUAUACAGUCCUUAUAAAAGGAACCCAGUCUUCUGUUUAAGGUCAUUACGUAUAAGGAAAACACAGGGUAUCCACCCUCUUGCUUCCUGGACAGAAUUGAGACUGGAUUACAUGGUGGAAUACACUUAAUACCUUUUUUACUGAAAGGUGAACAUGGAUAUUUCGGAAUACAGAAAUUCAAGCUGCAAACCCAUAAUCCAGGUAAAGAAAGUUCAAAAAUAAGCACUGAGAAAAUAAAUUUAUCCUUUUAAAUUCUACUGGAAAGUCACAAAGAAUUAGGAUUUAGGCCACUUUAGAAGGGCAAGUGUCCUGCUGAAGCCUCUUUUAAUUCAAGUUCUGUGUAAAAAGGGGGUGGAAAAAGUCAAUUCUACAAUAUUAGAAUGAAAAGAACAUUAAUUGUAUCCAUAAUGGAGGGGAAAGGGGAUGAAAAUAUCUUUUUAAGUUUUAAAUGAAUAUACUUCCUUCUCACCAGUUUACAAGAUGGAAAUCAAGCUCUUUUAUUUCCUUUAGCUUAUUUUGAGUUUGACAGGAAAGCUGCUUUAUUCACCAAACUGUUAAAAAAGUGUUAGCUGAAAAUGAGAUGAAGUAUCUUUACUGACAUACUGAACAGAAUGACUUUCUUAAUCUUGGUCU
ensembl:lncRNA